GAACUAGAAUCCAGAUUAAGCAUGGCGAAUACCGUGAGAGUGGUUACAGUCAGCUCAGACCCGGCUCCUCAUGUUCCUGUCCAAACCUCAGCAGUUAGUCCCUACUCACCAGUUGUUGCAACCGCUGCUCCGUUUGCACUCACAAGACCCAGACGCCAGUGGUUCAACCGGCAUGUCGGCUCCGGUGAAGAAUCUAUGUUCUCCUCCACUGCAGCUACUGCUAACUCAGCAAGAUCUCGCCUCAGGGAACUCAGGAGGAAAUUGCCCCGCAGAAUUGUGGCUCCAAUUGUAGUCAGUCAAUCAUCCUCAACUGAGACCUCCAGCGGUCAGGACACCAUGGAAGAAACCAGAAAACGCCUGAAAAGAUGGAAAAGAAAAUUCUGCCGUUAAUCGUUUGUAUCAAGAUUAUCAGUCUAAAAAAGAACAGCACUUACACUCUGUUUAUCAGCCUGCGGAAACAGUUUUGACCAGUUCCCAGCCGGUGUACUGCUCAGAAUCUCAAAGAAAUUGCUCAACUCUCAUCACGAGCACUUUCUCUCCUUACACUUCAUUUCGGCCCAUUUGCUCUACGUUGAGACCCAUGAUCACGUCAGUUACGCCGCAGCCUUUAUUCUGUAAUCAAAAUACAUCUCUCAUCAAUACACAAAAAUCUGCUUGUAGUGAUUUUCUGAACGAGCCAAGUCAAAAAUGUGCCAUUUUGGAUAAAAUUACUAAACAUGAACGUUCAGAUGUGUGUAAUUAUCUUGAGGGGCCUCAACAGUGUUCAAAUCGCAAAUUUCGUCAUUAUUACCGUGACUGGUUGGAAUGCCAUUUUCGCAAGUCUUGUCCAAGCCCAUCUGAAACAGAGACAUCCCACUCCAGGGUGUCACCGUUGAAACAGAUUUUUCAUCUAAAGCAAUACAAGUAUAAAAAAGUACAAAGAAUAGAGCUGACCAUGAAACUGAGAAGGUAGACGAACACAACCCUAAUGCUUUGGAGGUUCUACAUUUGGCAGGAGCCAACGAUAAAACUCCUCAAGUAAUCAUCAUUGAGAAUAAAGAUGAUUCCAGUCAUGUUCCUCUGCCAAAUCUCAACAAAAACGACUCGUUAAUUUCUUCGUCUGAUCUUGAUGACUCUUUGAAUUUUGAGAGGUUGAUCCUUCAAAAUCAACAAAAUGUUGCUGCUUUGAGACAGAAGUUUGAACAAUUUUGUAAUUUUAACAGCAGUACCAACUCUUCAGAUGGUGUUGCUGAUGGCGAUAAGCAGAAAAAAGGAAGAAAUAUUCGAAAACCCCCAGCCAACAAGAACGCCCAUUCGGUGAACGUUAAAGUCAAUGUUAACACUGCCGAAAGCACUAAAACUAUUGGAUCACCUGUUGAACCAGCGUCAAAAAACCAGGAAGUUUCUCAAUCAUUGGAUGUGAACACCAGUGCAGCUCCUGCAAAGCCAUCCACUCCGCCGCCUGUUGAAAUCACUUGUUCGGAUGGAAAAAAACUUGUAUCUUCCUCCGAACUUGAAGCAUCAUCCAAGAAAGUUGAGGAAAUAAAUGUUAUUCCAGAGGCUUUCAACUCUAAGUUGUGUCUAAGGAGUCCUGAAUCUUUAGCAGAUAAAAAAAUCAAAGAUAACUACAAAAGGCUCAGCUUGUAUCAUAGAUUGAACGACUAUUAUGAAGAAAUUAUCAAUGAAAUGAAUGUGAGUGAGGAAGAGAAGCAAAAUCUAUCGGAUAUUGAUCAUCUCUUACAGCCGGUCGAAGCAGAUCCUGAAAAUUUCCUUGUGAAUGAUGAAGAGGCAAAAUUGUCAGAGCAUCUUGUUAGAGCAGAGCCCGUCAUUUGUGUUACUCAAGUUGAAUCAUCUCAUCGCUCUCCCUCUGGCCAUUCAAUUUAAAUUUUUGAGUGCUGCUGAGCUCUUGCACCUGACAACUCCUCACUCGAUUGGAAUCGAAAUAAACCAUUUGCAUAGGAGAGCAAAUGGUUAAUUUUUAUAAUCCAAACAAAUCAUCCAUCCAUAUCCAGUCAUCAUUCAUGAUCCAUUUUAUAAACCAAAUUUUAAGGAUGAAAUUUCAAUCUGAUCUUGCUCAGCUAUUUUUCCUUCAAGCAAAAAAUUCAUUUAUUCAUUCCAAAAUCAAUUCUUUCAAACACCUCUUUAGUCCAAUCAGGGUUGCCAGCGACCGGGAAAAGUCAGGGAAAAAAAACCAUCGGGAAAAGUCAGGGAAAGUCAGGGAAUUUCGGUGUUGGUCGGGGAUUUUUCUGAUUUUUCGUGGAAUUAGGCACGGGCGGUUCUAAAAAUUUAAAUAGUCGAAAAUAGCUCUCAUUUUCACUUUAACAUACUGCGUCAAAUCCAUACUUAAAAGUCAGGGAAAAAUAUUGGAAAGUCAGGGAAAAGUCAGGAAUGGGAAAAAAUAAUUUGCCUGGCAACCCUGUCCAAUGGAAGUCAACUGUAAAGUCAGGUUCUGCCUUUUAAAUUUUUGUUUGAUCUCACUACGUUAUUUUUGUAAAGAUCUCUUAUCAUUUCCGUACAAAAUUUUAUCCUACUGCAUCCAUCCUUUUAUAUCAAAAGUGUAACUAUUUAAUAUGGGUUUCAUCCCAUUAUGAUCACAAAAAUCUAGUCUUAGUCGUACGAAAGCCUGUGAUAAAUUUCGUUGAUACCUUUUUUUUAAAAAAAAAAAUCAUAUAUGUAUUGAAAUUGAAUUGUAACUUCCCAUCGUUUUGUGUUCUAUUGAGAGUUUUAUUUUCAUAAUAAUUUAUUUUUGCAGAAGACAAUAGAAGCUAUAAUGUACCUACCAAACUAAAUUUUUCUAAUAAAAAAGGUUAAUGAAUCUUUAAGCAUGACUACACUUGUUUACAUUUUUUUCAUCACUGAAGGAGUCUUGCAUCAUUCCAAUUGAAAGGCUCCUUCUGUAAUCCAAUUUUAUAACAGCCAUACUUUUUUUCUCUCUUUUUUUCGAGAAGAUUAAGUUGCUAAGUUUUUCUGUGGUUGUAACUGAAACUAUUGUGUAUUAAUUCUCAAGAAAAAUCCUAAAGUUCGAUCCUUCUUGUAGCUCAUGGUUUAUAUUGGAUUCUUCGUGAAAAGAUACAUUUUCAGAAAAAAGUAAUUGAUAAAUGAUAACUAAUGCAUGGAUCAGAGUUACGUAGUAACUUUUUGUGUUUCAGUAAAAAAUAAGGCGCACAGCUUGUUUUAAAAACCUGACUACCUAUCAAUCCAUGGUAAUUGGGAUGAAACAGAAACAAUGUUGACCAAGUAUUUUUACGCGCACUUUAAUAAUCAUUGAAGAUACAAUUUGAUAUUGAACAAAUCUCUCAAUAAAGUAGAGCCAAAUAGCAAAUUUUUGGGUCAUACUAAAUUGGUUUCAUUGCAUUUUCUUACACAGUUGCCUACACAAAAUAGUUAAACCAAUAUAUUUUUUUCUAUCUUCAAAGCCAUUCGGUCACAGCCGAAUGGUAAGUAUAACAGCGAAAAAAUAGUUAAACAUACGAACAGAAUAAAACAGUCAAAACAGUGCAUUCUCUUUGCUUGACAUUCGAAGCUAAAUUUUGAACAAUGUCGAACUAAAAUUAAUAUGUCCUCCAUAACUAAUAAUUCUUUUUUUUUUUGGAGCCCCAAAAAAAAACUAAAUGCAAAUCAUAGGACCUAAUCAACAACUUUCCUCACUUCAAAUUUGACGCUUUGCUGACUAUCUGGUUUUUAUUGUGGAAUGUGAAGAUCAAAAAAAUAUUCAAAAGUUAAAUACAGGCUAAAAAAUACAAUCAUAUACAGUAAGAGCAAAGAAUAUGAUAAAAAUCUGUAGAUAGAUAAAAAAAAUUUUUUUUUCUUACAAUGCACCUUUCGGUGAAAGCAUAAACGAGAGCCUUGUUCAUUUACUAUGAAAGACCAUUUCUUGAAGGAUUUUCAUGCCUCAUUGAAGAUUAAGGUUGUAGUGAUCGGUUCAUAUCCUUUCAUGAAAAAUUAUUGCACACAUUAAAUUUAAAACUGACUAGAAAUAAUGAUUAAUUACAAUAUGAAUGCUGACAAUCACCACUAAGUGUGAUGGAUAGAACUCACCGUCUAAUCUUUUCUCUUUUAAAUGGACCAUAACUCUCAAUGAAAUUCGAUCCUCAGCAGGGCAGAUUAAAAUUUCUGUUGCAGUAAAGCGGAUUUAUAUGAAUUUAUUAUAGAAUAGAAUCAUGAGAAAACGCUCAUUUAAAACCCAAUUUGAGAGGAAAGAUUUCUCUUCUAAAAAAUUACAGCAGUUCAUUCGUGUGGCUGAGGAGACAGUGCAACAAACUUGAAAAUUGCGAUUGCAUACACAUUGUGGGUGAAAAUCUUUGGCAAUUUUGAUAUUAAAUAAACUUAAAAUUAUUAACACUCACUGAUGAUAAAGUCAUUUUCAAAAUCAGAACGUUGGGAUAAGACCAUAAAUCAAUGUAGAUCGAAAAAAGUAUGUUGACGGUGAAACUGCAGAAAUACGUAUCUCGGUUUGCAGCAUUGCAGACUUCCUUUCAUACUUUAUUUUCUUCAUGGAAAACUAUCAAAUAAUUUUCUGUGUCUGGUAUGUUCUAUGAAGAUUCGAAGUGAUGUUGUUUGUUCAGUUAUCAUUAAAAAAAAAUGAAAUAGGGGCGGAGAUUAUGAAACACUGCAACAAAGAUCGGUACGCAUGUUUGCAGUUUCACCAUUGAUAUGAAGUGGUCCUUUUAUACCAUACAUUAAUUGUUCGAGGAAAACGGUAUGUAAACUGGGAACUUAAAAAGAACCCAAGUUCCCACUAAAAAUCAGAGCAAACGAUUCUGUCUUUCCAGAAAAUUCUGCAUUUGCACACAUUAUUGGCAAUGUGUCAUGAAAGUAGGAGGUCAUCAAGUUACCACCGAUAAUUUAGCAUGAUUAAAAGGCUAAAAAAACUUGACAUUCAGAACAUUUUAAAAGAAGAUUAACGCAAUAUACUUGAUGAAGAUAACAACUUAGAGAUUUACUCCUCAGACAAUUUUUUUCUUAUUUUGAGUAAUAUUUCGUCGUGUUAAGGGUAACUUUGACUCGCACAACCUUUAUCACAACUCGAUAAUUAUUUUAUUACAAAAUGAUAUGACACACAAAUUAAUGAGCAUAACCUUACUUAAGUUUGACCCUUUGAGAGUUAAGUAAAUGAUAAAAAAUACAUAAUAUAAAAAAAAGGAAAGAGAAAAUGUCAACAAAUAAUUUUUUUAAAAGAUUUGUCAAAAAGAUGGAACUCGAUUCUGGGUAGAUUUGUACCCAGGAAGAUCCGAAUUUUCUAAAAUCAAAAGAUAUAUUUUUUUUCUAUGAUCUCUAUAAUCAUAUCAGAAAUCAUUGAGUAAAGGAGCAUGGGUUUAUCACAAAUCUUGAUAACCUCUUUUCAGAGAAUUUUUACAGAUUGGUAAAUUCUGAUUUUUUUGUUGUCCUUCUCUUGUAACGAUGUUGUCCUACGCUAGGGAAUUACAUGAGUAAAGUAACUAAGAAUUGAGAAAAUCAUCCUUCUAUGUAUUUUCACUUUUUAAGUUCCAGCCAAAUAUGUAAAUUGAUAGCAAAAAUGAAGCCGCCUUUAUGACACAAAGUUAUCAGUUGAAACGAUAAAGAUUUAAAAGAAGAACAAGAAAAAUAAAUGAAAUUUAAAAACAGAGUAGCUCUGUUUUAAGAAAUAAAUGAGCAUUA
rnacentral:lncRNA from 1 species